AUGGAACAUGUAGCCAAGCUCUGCAGUAUGUUGGGUCUGACCGAGUGGCACAGCGGUCUAAGGCACUGCAUCACAGUGCUAGAGGCGUCCUUACAGACCACGGUUCAAUUCCAUGCUGUAUCACAACAUGUGUUAAUGUGUUACUGUGGCAGGUCAACAGGGCUUUCCUUCCACACCCCUGGUAAUUCAUGUGUUACUGUGGCAGGUCAACAGGGCUUUCCUUCCACACCCCUGGUAAUUAAUGUGUUACUGUGUGAGGUCAACAGGGCUUUCCUUCCACACCCUGGUAAUUCAUGUGUUACUGUGGCAGGUCAACAGGGCUUUCAUUCCACACCCCUGGUAAUUCAUGUGUUACUGCACAACGCAUCACCGGGGGCAAACUACCUGCCCUCCAGGACACCUACACCACCCGAUGCUACAGGAAGGCCAAAAGAUCAUCAAGGACAUCAACCACCCGAGCCACUGCCUGUUCACCCCGCUGUCAUCCAGAAGGCGAGGUCAGUACAGGUGCAUCAAAGCUGGGACCGAGAGACUGAAAAACAGCUUCUAUCUCA
rnacentral:lncRNA from 1 species